UUGAGCCCAGGAGUUUGAGACCAGCCUGGCAACAAGGUAAAACACUGUCUCUACAAAAAAUACAAAAAUUAGCCAGGGUGGUGGUACAUGAGAGGGGACUUCCAUUCCCAGAGCUCCCUUGAAGGUGGCAGGCAGCCAAUGGGGGACACUGAGCCAGAGACAUCUGCCAGGAUAUGGAUCUGGGAACCUGUCAGUCCCCAUGCGUCUCCCAUGGCAGGGCCUGGAAAUC
rnacentral:lncRNA from 1 species